AACAGGGAAGCCGGUGACAAUCCGGCGCGGCCCCCGCCACUGUGACCGGGGACGAAGGCGGAGCAUCCACUGGAUCUCCGGCGCCUCCAUCGAAGCGCCGGGUCUGGGAAGGUCCGCCGGAGGACGAUCCGGGAGCCAGGAAACCU
rnacentral:ncRNA from 2 species